rnacentral:rRNA from 1 species
UAGGGAAUAUUGGACAAUGGGCGAAAGCCUGAUCCAGCCAUGCCGCGUGAGUGAAGAAGGCCUUAGGGUUGUAAAGCUCUUUUAGUGGGGAAGGUAAUGACUGUACCCACAGAAAAAGCCCCGGCUAACUUCGUGCCAGCAGCCGCGGUAAUACGAAGGGGGCUAGCGUUGUUCGGAAUCACUGGGCGCAAAGCGGGUGUAGGUGGAUGUUUAAGUGAGGGGUGAAAGCCCAAGGCUCAACCUUGGAACGGCCUCUCAUACUGAGCAUCUAGAGUCUGGAAGGGGGAAAUGGAAUUCCGAGUGUAGAGGUGAAAUUCGUAGAUAUUCGGAGGAACACCAGUGGCGAAGGCGAUUUCCUGGUACAUGACUGUCACUCAGACCCGAAAGUGUGGGGAUCAAACA